UCUCUCCUCCACCUCUCUUCCACACCUCCUCCCGAACCCUCUAUCCCGCCGGAGGUGGAGUGUGACGGGCGCGGAUGGCGGCGACAAAAGCGUGCGGCUGAGGACGGCGCCGAACAGCCGGCAUUAUCGCCGGAUCUUCCCGGCAAACCCCGCUCCUCCGCGAGCACCUGGCCGCCCCGGCCGCCUCCAAUGCCCAGCGGCACUCCGCCUCCACUGCUCCACCACUUCCUGGACGCGCCCGAGCCCUCGCUGCUCCGCGAGCGCAUGGCCACCCCGGCCACCUACAGCUCGCCCCUCCGCUCCACGCCUCCCCACGUGCACCGCCGACGGCCCUUGUCAUCGCCAUGUCCGCUAAUGGUGGCGACGCGGGACACGCCGCCAAAGCUGGGUACGCUGGACACGCCGCAGAAGCUGGGUACGCGGUACACACUUCCGUUGCCAGGGACGUGGAUAGGUGCUAGGUAUGCUGACGCUGCUAUUGCCGGUCUAAUGUCGUUGCCGGGAUAGUUGCAGAUAGGUUGAAUCUGCGGAGCAACACAACGAAGGGUGGUGACAGGGGAGUAGGCGCGCGGCCGGGAGCAAGCCGGCGGGCCCGUAGCAGAUGCCUGCGGCAGGUGAGCAGUUGGCGCGGGUAAUAGCGACCAUGCAGCAUCAGAUUCCCCAUUGGGAUGAUAUGCAACGGAGGUCAGGAUAUCAGAUGUAACAUCGCUAGCUUCUGCCAUAUAUUGGACCCGUGAAAGUCUCUAUGCUCACAACGUGUUCGACGAAAUAACAAUGGUGUUGUGCUUUUGAGGUCAGUCUCCAAAAGGGAGCAUCUGCAGGCAUGUAAGUUGCCGGAUCCACAUGCAGGAGGAUCUAUGGAAGAGGAAAACAUGUAUGGGAAGGAGCGGAGGGGGUUCUGCAUGGCCUCAAGCAGCACCAUAUUCAAGGAAUUCGUACAGCAGUGCUACCUCUUGCCUUCCAGUUUGCUUUCCUGGUUAAACUCAUGUUUAAAUAUAUGGACGUGUCCUUUUGAAUAUGUAAAUGUUACAUCUCUGAUAAUUUGCAUGGUAUAUCUAACCAUUCUUCCCUUUCUUUAUUAUUUAGCGAAGGUAAGAUGAAAUUUACCUGUGUGUAGUGUACCAUGUUAUGUAGGUAGACCAGACAGUCAGAUUUGAAAAUUGUUUGGCCAUGGCCAUACAUUUAGCUGCUUGGAGUAUAUUACCUGCACAGGUUCCUUGUUACAUGGUUCCCAACUUCCCAUUAUGUAUGGCAAAAGAUCUUCCCAUUGACUAACGAUGUUUAAAUACAUAAGAGAACAUUCAUAUGCUGUUUUCCUACAAAUCUAACUAUGAACCCCAUAAGUGAGUUUAUGAUCAUUUCUUAUUAAAUCAUUGAAGUGAUUGCUUUUCUCUCUGAUUUUCUUUGUGUGACAUAUAUAGAGUCGUCUUAUAGUUAUAUUUGGCCUGAAACAAAAUAAUGUCCAUUCACUCCAAACGACCAAACCUACAAUUUUUGUUAGUGGAAUUUUAUGUUUGUCACAGUCGGCACUAAGACAUACUUGCAUCAAGCAUAUCAUUUUUAUAUAAGGAUAUACGCAACAAACAGUGUGUUGUGAUCAUUUUUCUAUAUAUAGUCAGAACUGAGACACAACAUGUGUACUCUCUUUGAAAGCAGGUGAACCAGCUGGAUCUCUUCGUCAACGACUUUAAUGGGGAUGAGGUCAGGGCUGGAGCUGCAUUUCCACUGCUCUCUCCAGCUCACAGCUGGUUAUGCAUGCUUUACCUUAUAUCUGCCCAGUGUCAAAUUUCAUGCACUCUUCUCACGGUAUAAUAAAGAAACGCACCAUCAUGCAAGAUGGCGGCUCAAGUUCUUUCUACACAUGCACGAUUACUAUUCUUCAAGAAAUCAGGAACUGCUACUCACCCGCACAUCGAGGUUUAUGCUAAAGCAUGAGUAAACCUAUAGAAAAUUUUCCUGCCUACAAGGUCAAAAAAGACGAUUGCUGAUGCAGCUUAUUGCCCGCAUAUAUGAUAGAUUUUUAGAUAUCUUACCCUCUUCUUCUAUAAGAAUAGAUCACUAAUGCUAAUGCAGCUUAUUGCGAUCUUGUGUUGUAGUAGUAUUUCCCCCUUAUGCAGGUCUCUCGCAAGCUUAUUGUAUGGCAAAUAAUGUGUGAGGUUUCAGAUUCAGGAAAUCUAUUUCGGCUGCAUCACUAGAAUUGUUUUAUCACUAUAGAUGAACAUGUAUUUUCUUUAGAAAUACGUGCGUUGCACGUGCAUGCUAACUAGUAUUAUAAAUAACACAUAUUUUCCUUCUAGAUGUUUAGGUCUUUUUAUUAGUCCUUCUCUUCCGGAAAAUCUAUAGUGUGUACAUACCCAAGGACCUUCCAGUGCAACAUGUGUCUGGCUUUUUUAUCGGACAAUGGACUAGACUAAGGGAUAGCUGCAUCUAUUUUUCUACAUAAUAAGGACAUGAAGACCCAUGGCACCAUGUGCGGCACACUAGCUACAAUACGUAUGGUUGCCGACGGUCGGACAUAGGUUCCCUCUAUUUCUCCCACCCACAACAUCCUUACCUUCCCUUUAUACCCAUCUAUAUAAAUGAAAGCAUAGAUGAAUCUAGCGGCGUCAAUAUGAGAAGAUCGGCUGACAGACAUAUUGAUGUGCUCCAAACUUUGCAGAUCUGUAUCAGGUAACAGAGGUACGAUGCAUGCGUGCUAUCCUUGCAUGCACGUCCAGGACAUCAGGCAAGACGACUUGCUGCAUGCCGGCGUGCACAGGUCCAGCUGAAGGCAUGUACUGUGGAUGAGGACAUUCCUGAAUGAUGGGUGGCUUCUAUGUUGAUCCGACAGUGAGCUCGAUGAUGUGGGGACAUACCAUACACUUGAUCAGGGAUGUCACAAGAUGUGCCGCACGGCCAGGUCUGGAUACCACACGAACGUUCAUGUUGGAUUGAAGCUCUUCUUUUCAGGCAUUGGGCACGUGAGAAAAGACUUCCACAUUCAAACGGGCUUCUUUAAUUAGAUAUGUUUAUGGCAGUUAAACUUGAUCCAGAGAAAGUUCUAAAUUUCUAUUUGCUGCUGUGAUAUGCAUGAUAUACUCCAUACGUUAUCUUCCUAUUGGUUCUGCAUAACCAAG